rnacentral:rRNA from 1 species
GUGGGGAAUCUUGCGCAAUGGGCGAAAGCCUGACGCAGCCAUGCCGCGUGGAUGAUGAAGGUCUUAGGAUUGUAAAAUCCUUUCACCGGUGAAGAUAAUGACUGUAGCCGGAGAAGAAGCCCCGGCUAACUUCGUGCCAGCAGCCGCGGUAAUACGAAGGGGGCUAGCGUUGCUCGGAUUUACUGGGCGUAAAGGGCGCGUAGGCGGACAUUUAAGUCAGGGGUGAAAUCCCGGGGCUCAACCUCGGAACUGCCUUUGAUACUGGGUGUCUUGAGUAUGAGGGAGGUGUGUGGAACUCCGAGUGUAGAGGUGAAAUUCGUAGAUAUUCGGAAGAACACCAGUGGCGAAGGCGACACACUGGCUCAUUACUGACGCUGAGGCGCGAAAGCGUGGGGAGCAAACAGGAUUAGAAACCCUGGUAGUCC